UAUUAAAACCGGAAAGCAUGGACACCCAGACAGCUUACUGUCAAUGACUGUACUAUUCACUGUCUUCAACAAAAGUCAGCUAUUCCAGGAAACUCUCGUCCAGAAAGAUAAAAAUGGAGAAUGAGACAUCAAUCAAUAUGCGGAAGAUUUACAUGGUUCGGUCUGGAAGGGUGGGACAAUUCGAAGGGUGAGGAGAGAAGAGGAGCUUCCGGGUCAUACUGACAGCCCACUUGACAGGUGGUCAGGAAGAAGUCAAAUCUUCUAGAGGAGGUAGGUCACUCCUGCCCCUUAACGCCUCAGUCCAGCUCUCCUCUAGGACCUCAGAGACUCCACUUCGCCCAUUUGCCAGUCAGUUCUUGCACUUUUCCACGGUGGAAAAUAUUCUUAUAUUGCUGCCAGUGCAGAAUCAACCACUGACCUACCAGAAUCCACCAUGGACCUGGAGUCACCCACAGAUGUGUACCUGGAGAACACCCAGGCUUUCGAAAAUGAAGCAAAUUCUCCAUUAGCUGUGAUGAUCACUGCUAUCCACUACUUUCUAAGAAGAUUCUAUGCUUUUGAGCAUGCCUACCACUACACUAUAGGAGAUCUAUUGUAGAAGACUAGAAAAACAUAGGAUGUGCCCAGCUGAGGCAUUGAUCCUGGCUGGGUAGGGGGAAUUGUUCAGGGAUGGGGAAGGGGCACUUCUUAGCUGUGUCUCAUCGAGUACGGGCUCAAUAAAUAAUUGAAUUUUGAGAGUGACCCUUCUGGAAGAGUAGGAACAGAUUCUUAUGUGUACAACACAGGAUCCUCUCAUCCAACUGAUCAAGUGGCCUGUCUUUAGGAUGUCCAGUCACAUCCCCACACACAAUACCUCUAACAAGGUCAUCUGAAGUUAUCACUAUCCUUGAGAAAAAACUGAAUGACAGUACAAGACUUAUUCGAGGCCUGAAAUGGAUCUUGGGAAGGGCCUGUGCACAUGAAGGACCCCAAAGCAUGGACAUCCUCACAGCAUGUGUCAGGUUCCAUAAAGAACAAUUUGGAAUUGCAUGGCAUUUCUAUGAUACAGACUCAAAAGUCACAAAGUAUCACUUCUGAUAUAAUCUACUGGUCAUGGCAGUAAUGAAGUUCUACCCAAGCUCCAAGGAGGAUGUUUAACUGAAAGCUGAAGAAUACACUCUGACAUUGUGAUAACAGUGGUGUGAUGAGGCUACAGACACUUGACCUUAGGCUGAUGACCAAUGCGAGAAAUGAAUGAAUGAAGAGCAAGUAACCACUGGAGCACAGUAGGCAAGAACUCAGAUCUGAGAACUGACUGCCUUCCAUUCCACUUACUACCUUUAUAUGAACCUAGACACGCACCUAAAUUACCUCAUCUA
rnacentral:lncRNA from 1 species